AUUGAACGCUGGCGGCAGGCCUAACACAUGCAAGUCGAGCGGAUGAAGGGAGCUUGCUCCUGGAUUCAGCGGCGGACGGGUGAGUAAUGCCUAGGAAUCUGCCUGGUAGUGGGGGAUAACGUCCGGAAACGGGCGCUAAUACCGCAUACGUCCUGAGGGAGAAAGUGGGGGAUCUUCGGACCUCACGCUAUCAGAUGAGCCUAGGUCGGAUUAGCUAGUUGGUGGGGUAAAGGCCUACCAAGGCGACGAUCCGUAACUGGUCUGAGAGGAUGAUCAGUCACACUGGAACUGAGACACGGUCCAGACUCCUACGGGAGGCAGCAGUGGGGAAUAUUGGACAAUGGGCGAAAGCCUGAUCCAGCCAUGCCGCGUGUGUGAAGAAGGUCUUCGGAUUGUAAAGCACUUUAAGUUGGGAGGAAGGGCAGUAAGUUAAUACCUUGCUGUUUUGACGUUACCAACAGAAUAAGCACCGUCUAACUUCGUG
rnacentral:rRNA from 1 species